rnacentral:lncRNA from 1 species
GUCCUUUUUCACAUCUCUCGCUAUAUAUCUCUGUCUCUUCUACAUCCAUAUUUCUUUAGUAUAUCACCAAUUAUAUUCGAAAGUCCUGCUCCAUUUUAAGUGUUUUAACCCCUGAUCACUGAGGGGAUACCUUGUCCGAUUGAUUUAGGACCCACCAAGCAUGUCAAGGCUCUGCCCGACUAAGUACGUUGGAGUUCUGUCUCGCGACAUAUUAAUAAAGUUGAACUGGGUUAGUAUACUUAACGCCGGUGCAUUAUAUAUUUAAAAUAACAACCCUCCUAAAACACCCUGACACUCCUACACGUUCCUAAAUACACCCCGUAUGUGAAAAACGGACCCGAAAUACCUUCGUGCCUAUAAAAAUUAAAGAAUACAAGAUCAACCCUUCACUCGCGGCCCGCGACAGACGAAGGCAUAGCCUUCGCGGGGCGCGAUGUGCUGUUACUUGCCGAGCACCUGUGCUGCCACGUGUCCCUACGCGUGUCGACCCUAUGCCGCCUUUAUGGCCCUCGCGGCCCGCGAAAGAUUAGGACAAAGCCGUCGCGGGGCGCGACCCGCCUACAAUUAGGCUAUAUAAGGAGCCGAGAUCAGUCAUUUCAAUUCGUUCAAAAAUUAUAAUUCUCUCAAUUCUGAAUAGCCAAAGUAAUACCCGGGUGUUAUACCCACUAAAAUAGCGAAGCUUUGCCUCGAUGUAAGUAUUAUAACCCUCGGUUACGUAUUAGAUACGCUGCCCGAUUGAUCUAAUGCUCCGUAACAGCUGUCGAGGCUCUGCCCGACGUAGUCGUUGGAGUUCUGUCUCGGGGAGGAUUAUAACAGGAAGUCACAAGGAAAAUACCUAAAUUAGCAAUGUGAGCAAUCCUCUUUUUGUGAACAUUUUUGCAAACUGUUUUUACAAAACCCCCGGUGUUUUAAAUUAUAUUUAACAGUGAUUGAGUAUUUGUAUUCUACAAUUAUCGUCGGUAUGUUGGGGUUUUGUAUACAAAAUUUGUUACUACACUGUGAGUAGUAACAUGACCACAAGUCGGGUUGACAGUACCGCGGGUGGUAAUUAAAGUAGAAAUAUAAACAAAUGUAAUUGUGAGAUCGCCCUCAAUACUGUAAAAUGAUAAAACCUGUUUUGAUUAAACUAGGAUUCACUCACCAGUAUUUCCCACUGAUAGAGGUUUUUAAAACGCGUUUCAGGUAACAAAAUGUGAAAGCCAAAUAGAAGCCAGCUAGAGAGCACUGAAAGCUUAGAAAAGUGGCUAUAAAAGUUACCUAAAUAAAAAGGAGAUUUUGUUUUCAAUAAUUAGGGUUUAUCCCUAUAAAUGUAUUAUAAAGAAAAUUUGGGUUUUAUCCCAUUUAUCUCUUUUAAACAUUUUGGUGUUUAACUCUGAUAAAAUUAUU